AAUAAACUUAAAGGCGUACAGUAGCCGACUUCUUUCACUUGUGUUCGGUUGUCCAUACACCCUUGUUCGUCUCCCGAAUGGAUGGCGUGUGGUCCCCUUUUUAUACCGCCCCGAACACUGACCUCCCCUGGCUCUUAACCACAAAUGAAAUGAUUAACUCGAGUGCUUUCCCUGGGUGGCCAUUUUGUGUUUUUGUAUUCCGAACACAGGCAGCGAUACAUGGUUAUCGAAUGCCUGGAACUAUUUUCGGCCAUGCGAGUCCUGAACCCGGCCCGCUGCUGGUUCCACUUCCUGACCAACUAGACGAACGACGUUUGGGAGAUAUGAACUCCCGAAUUGGGAUGAGCAUUUGCUCCCUAAAGGCCAGGGAGAACGUUCAUUGGUGUUCGCACGUGAACCCUC